GGAGUAUCUCUCCCAGAUGUCGGGAUAGCCCACAUGUAACACAGUCCUUAGUCUUUGUUUCCAGCGGUGGCAGGCAGAAAGGAGAGGGAGCUGUUCGAGGUGAUUACUGGACGCACACACACCCUUUGAUUCUUCCGCUGCUUAUUCUGGUGAUGGAUCGGAGGGGCACCGCUAAUCCCGGCAUGCCACAGCAGCUCUUUUUGGAACUGCCGUGAGAGAGGUGUAAGUGCAGCAGCGGGAGAGAACACAGGAGAUGAAAAUUGAAGCAAAAGAGAGGCCUAAGAUGAAAGGAGGCCAAUAAAAGGCAAGUGAGGCUUUUUUUUCUAUGCCAUUGUUAGCUGCAGAGCACACAGGGCCAAAAGCCCUCUUGGUUUUUCUUCAUGUGCCAAAUAGAUUGACAUUUUUCUGGGCUUUCUCUCUCUCUCGACCCCCAAGGGAUUCAGCCAGUUUCACUUAGUGACAUGAAAAAUAGCCAUGCCUAUCAUGAGAAGACGUGUCUACAAAAAAAAAAGAGUCUCAAAAAGCCAUGCCUGAGAAGACGCAGGAAGUCUGACAUUUUGGUUUAAAGCUACCAUUUUAGGGUCAUUGUGUAUUUUCAGGGGCCCUUUAAAGAAAAGCCAGCCCCCAAAGCCAGUUUCUUUUAGCAAUCUAAAAUUGGGCAAGAAGGUCUAUCAUGAGUAGACCUGCAAAAAGUCUCAGGAAGCCUACUAUUUUGGUUUAAAUCGGCCAUUUUAAAACCAGGUUGGCCAUUUCCAGGGGUCCCCACCCCCCCAAAAAAAAUCCAGCCCCCAAAGCUACUUUCACAUAGCAACAAGAAAUUUAGUAGGAAUGUACUAUCAUGAGACGCACAAAAAAGCCUCAAUAACCUAUGCCUGAAAAGACAGCGUCUGCCAUUUGUUUGUUUUUUGUUUUUGUUUUUUGGGGUAAAGCAAACACUUUUGGGUCAUGUUGGCCAUUUCCAGGGGUCCUUGAAAGAAAAUUCAGCCCCCGAAGCCCGUUUUACUUGCUAACAUGAAACAUAAUAGACAUUUUGGUUUGAAGCAACCAUUUAAGGCUCAGUUGGCCAUUUCAAGGUGUCUUUCAAAAGUCCUCAAGGUUUUGUCUGAUUGCUACCAAAUUUGAAUCACAUAUACUGGACAGAUGGGUGACACUAAAUUAUGGAACAUUUAAUUUUCAUCAUAGCGUGUGGGCAGAGCCUGGCAGCCAAGUUUGAUGAGUCAUAAAACGCAAAACUCCAAUAACUUGCCUCCACGAGGUCAGCGCUUGACCAACUGUGAUGAAGGCCAGUCCUCAGAUUUGUCACACCUUUUACAAUUAACUUUAUACGAGAUCCAAGUUUCCACGCUUGCAGUCACCCUGGAAAGAAGUCUACUUUAUCCACUGCCUCCAUUACCUUUUCUGUGAAAUGCUUCCUAAAUUCUCCCGAAACCAGGCUGCUAACACACAGCAGCACAGUAAGCGUGUCACCCAAAAGCAAAUGGCUGCAAUAACAUUAAGCAAUUACAAUAAGAACAAACAGCAAUUCUUUAUUAGAGUAUCUCUCAUAUUGUCAGUUCACGCGGCGCCCCAAAAUUGCCGCAGAAAUAAUUAAUGUCACUCUCGCUUGGGCUCACGCGAGACUAAUUUGCCUCCUGCCUAAAGAGUGAGGCAUCUCGGCGUUGUGCUUUUUCUUUUCUUUUUUUUGUUACG